GGAUAGGUGGUCAUUGUUUCAUGACAGAAGAAACAACUCUUUUAAAAUUAUUUAUCAGAUGGCUAAAAUGUCUACCAUGGAGAUAAAAAAUAUGCUUGCUUGAGUGACCCUACUGACUUUUCAUAAAUCCUUUAGAAGUGUAAAUAUCUUUGGGAGAACAGGUAACUAUUUUCACCGGUUAGACUUUUGUGGUAGACGAGUUGUUCAGAUAAUGAACUAUUAUUUGUUUUUAUUUCUUUUCUUUUCUUUCUUUCUUUUUUUUUGAGACAAAGUUUCCCUCUUGUUGCCCAGGCUGGAGUGCAGUGGUAUGAUCUCUACUCACCGCAACCUCCGCCUCCUGGGUUCAAGUGAUUCUCUUGUCUCAGCCUCCCGAGUAGCUGGGAUUACAGGCAUGCAGUACCACAGCUGGCUAAUUUUGUAUUUUUAGUAGAGAUGGGGUUUCUCCAUGUUGGUCAGGCUGGUCUCAAACUCCUGACCUCAGGUGAUCCACCUGUCUCGGCCUCCCAAAGUGCUGGGAUUACAGGUGUGAGCCACCAUUCCUGGCCCCCAAUAUUCUUCUUAACUGUCUUAUUAAGAACUUCUUAACAGUUUUCUGUAUUUCUAAUUUUAAUCAGGCCAAGGCUACUUUGCUGUUCUAUGCAUUUUAAGUCACAUUUACAUGAUAAGAUGACUUUAGGUUAAAAAAGAAGAGAAAUAAGGAAGGUAGGAAGUAAGGAUGGAGGAAAAAGGAUAGAAGAGAAACCAGGAAGAAAAGAAGGAAGGGCUAAUUUAAAAUAUAGCAGAAGGAUGCAGCAGAAAAAUAAAUAGACCCUACCACUUCCUAAAGUUUGGUAUGCUCUUCUAAAACAUUAUUUUUCAAAUAAGAACACAUUCUGCUCUCUUAUACUCAAUGCAUAUUAGUACCGUAUGGACUCUGAGAAGGAAACGGUUUACCUUUGCUUAACUUGACAUUUCCCAAAUGUAUGUACUCAUGGUUUCCUGUGGAACAACUUUUAAUAGCCACAGUAAUUUAAUUCCCCUGGCACACACUUCAGGAAAAACUGGAGUUCAUAAUUUCAGUUGCACAGAUUGUUGAAUUGCAUUUUCUUCUUCUUAAGCACAACUUUUUAUUAUCUUUGACUGGCUAUUUGAUGUACCAGUUGGGUUGCAUGUCAUUACAUAAUGCUCAAUAUCUAUUAUUCUGGGAAUGCUGUCCAUUGAUUACAUAUUUCAUAGCUCUCUGAGCCACAGUUCUUUAGUCUUUGAAAUUAUGAUUUGAGCAACAGGAGAAAGGAGAUGAGCUGAGACACCAAUAGGCAUCUGUUUUAGAAAGAUAUAUGUACCAGGCAGAUUAAUGAGCUUCAGGGAUAUUCUUGCCCUGAUUAUUGGGUUUGUGAAUAUGUUACCUUACAUGGCAAAAGGGACUUCAUAAUGUGAUAAAGUUAUGAACCCAGAGAUAGAGAAACUGUUCCAGGUGGUCUCAACUUUAUCACUUGAAUCCUUAAAAGUAGAGAACAUUUCCCUUGUGCAGACAACCAGAGAGAUGGUAGCAUGAGAAGAACUCAGUCCACCAUUUAACUUAACUUUGAAGAUGGAAGGAGACCAAGGAAUGUGGGCAGCCUUUAGAAGCUGAAAAAGACUAAGGAAAAUAUUAUCCCUAAAGCUUCAGAAAAGAACAUAGCCCUGUUGACAUCUCCAUUUUAUCCUAGUAACACCUGCAUCAGGCUUCUCAUCUACAGAACUAUAAGAAUACAUUUGUAAUGGUCAAGCCCCCAGUUUAGUGGCAUUUAUAACAGUAGCAACAGAAAAAUUAUACGAUCAGCAAGUAUAAGAGGCAGUAUAAGAAAUGCCUGUACUGAGGAAAAUCAUCUAGAAGGAGAUUAUUUUAAAAGCUGCAUUCUGGCACUGUGGUAGGCAGAGUUCUACAAUAUCCUCCAAGAUUCCUGGUUCCUGGUAUAUGCACAUACUUCAUAGUUAUUCCAUCAAUCACUAAUAUGGGUGCUGCUACCAAAGGACUUUGCAGGUGUAACAAAGUUCCCUUGUCCACUGGACUCAAAAUAGAGAUUAUGCUCUAUAAGCCUUAUCUAAUCAGGUGAGCCCUGAAAGUGAUGGGACUCUUAAGUGUUUGACACCGGGGACAUUCUCCACUGCUGGCUUUGCAGAUGAAGGGGUUCACUGUUUGUUCCAAGAUUGAGGGCAGGCUCUAAGAGCUGUGAGUUGCCCCCAGCUGACAGCCAACAACAAAAUGGGAACCUCAGUCCUACAACCACAGGAACUCGAACUCUGCCGAGCAAAGUGAAUGAACUUAAAAACAGCUUCAGAUGAAAUCACAGCUGGCUAACUCCUUGCUUUCAGCCUUGUAAAAUCCUGUGCAGAAAACCCAGCCUUGCUGUGUCUAGACUACUGAACUUCAGAACUGUGAGUUAAUAAAAAGGUCUGGAUUUAAGCAGCUAAAUCUGUGGGAGUCUGUUACAUAGCAAUAGAAAAUGAAUUCAGGUGCACUGUGCUGUAAUAGUUAGGAGUUAUAUAAAAGUUUAUUAUAGUCAAUGAUAGCACUGACAGGGCCCAAGGAAAUACUUUCCACAGGAUUAUAUACAUUUGAGGGUAGUUAACUGUAUGUGUGUCACAAAACCUGUGGAUUGUAGAUGCAAAUGAAUACUUUUAUUUGAGAUGGGAUCUCACUUUGUUGCCCAGGCUGGAGUGCAGUGGUGCUAUCAUAGCUCACAGUAACUUUGAAUGCCUGUACUCAAGCGAUUAUCCCAUCUCAGCCUCCCAAGAAACUGUGAACACACGCAUGUGCCACCACUUGGCUACUUUUUCUAUCUUUCAUAGAGAUGGAGUCGUUCCGUGUUGCCCAGGCUGGUCUUGAACUCUUGAGCUCAAUAAGUCCUUUUUCCUUGGCCUCCCAAAGUGCUGAGAUUACAGGCAUGAGCCAUUGAGCCUGCCUUAAUACAUUUUGAUUUGAAUUUAAAAGAAUCACAAAUCUCAUUUUAUCUUAGGGACCUGCUUAAGGGAUGGUCAACUUUAAACACCUCCACUCUUAGGAUGUUCAUUUUCUCUUUCCAUUUGAUAAAACAAGGUUAGCCUGUUUAUUAAAAAGAGGAAAUACAUUCCCAUCAAAACACAAAUACUGGUCAUAUCACUCACAUGUGAGAAUAGACAUCAGGGCACUGCGUAGGGAGAAGUUGUGCAGAGGACACCAGCAGUGUCCGGUGCACAGUUACUGGGAAUGCACCAGCCAGACUGCUGAUCUUACUAACAGAAGUGACCAAGAUUUGAUGAAGAAAUGUCAGAGCUUUGUAUCUUAGCAGGUUGUACACAUGUCCUAAAAGAAUAAAUGCCUGCCUACUUUUGUGUCCUGAUUGAUUCUCUCGGACUAUACACUAGAAAUCAAGCCAUACUUCAGAUAAAGUAUUCAGAGGAAGGAAUGAGUAGGUAAUUCUCAAGACUGGAAGGACAGUGUUAAUGCUGAAUUCAGGAUCCAUGUCUAAGAACGCAAG
ensembl:lncRNA